rnacentral:rRNA from 1 species
GUGUCAGCCGCCGCGGUAAUACGAAAGGGGUUAGCGUUGUUCGGAAUUACUGGGCGUAAAGCGCGCGUAGGCGGCCUUGCAAGUUGGGGGUGAAAUCCCGGAGCUCAACUCCGGAACUGCCUUCAAAACUGCAAGGCUAGAGGGUGCGAGAGGUGAGCGGAAUUCCGAGUGUAGAGGUGAAAUUCGUAGAUAUUCGGAAGAACACCAGUGGCGAAGGCGGCUCACUGGCGCAUUUCUGACGCUGAGGCGCGAAAGCGUGGGGAGCAAACAGGAUUAGAUACCCUGGUAGUCCACGCCGUAAACGAUGAGGGCUAGUUGUCGGGCGGCUUGCCGUUCGGUGACGCAGCUAACGCAUUAAGCCCUCCGCCUGGGGAGUACGGUCGCAAGAUUAAAACUCAAAUGAAUUGACGGGG